rnacentral:rRNA from 1 species
GAUGAACGCUGGCGGCGUGCCUAACACAUGCAAGUUGAGCGGAGAGUUUUCGAAGAAGACUUCGGUUGGAAUUGGAAACGAUCAGCAGCGGACGGGUGAGUAAAGCACAAGGACGUAUCCUUUUGAGGGGGACAACUGCGGGGAACCGGAGCUAAUAGCCCAUAAGCCGAGAGGUGAAAGCGCGCGAGCGCGCAAGAGGAGCGACUUGUGUCCUAUCAGGCAGUUGGUGAGGUAAGAGCUCACCAAACCGAAGACGGGUAGCCGGACUGAGAGGUUGUACGGCCACAUUGGAACUGAGAGACGGUCCAGACUCCUACGGGAGGCAGCAGUGGGGAAUAUUGGGCAAUGGGGGCAACCCUGACCCAGCGACGCCGCGUGAGGGAAGACAGCCUUCGGGUUGUAAACCUUCUGUUGCAGGGGAAAGAAAGGA